rnacentral:rRNA from 1 species
UUGAACGCUGGCGGUAUGCUUUACACAUGCAAGUCGAACGGCAGCACGGGGCAACCUGGUGGCGAGUGGCGAACGGGUGAGUAACAUAUCGGAACAUAUCCGGAAGUGGGGGAUAACGUAGCGAAAGUUACGCUAAUACCGCAUAUGCCCUGAGGGGGAAAGUGGGGGAUCGCAAGACCUCACGGUUUCGGAGUGGCCGAUAUCAGAUUAGCUAGUUGGUGGGGUAAAGGCCUACCAAGGCGACGAUCCGUAGCGGGUCUGAGAGGAUGAUCCGCCACACUGGGACUGAGACACGGCCCAGACUCCUACGGGAGGCAGCAGUGGGGAAUUUUGGACAAUGGGGGCAACCCUGAUCCAGCCAUGCCGCGUGAGUGAAGAAGGCCUUCGGGUUGUAAAGCUCUUUCAGACGGAAAGAAAUCGGGCGCGUGAAUAGCGUGCCUGGAUGACGGUACUGUCAGAAGAAGCACCGGCUAACUACGU